GUCUUCUCCGCAAGUCCCCUCGGGCGGUGGCCGCAGUGGUAGCUGGCUGGCUGGGUUUCGGAGCAGGGUCGAUGGAGGGAAGGGACACAGAAAGGUGCCCCGAGCUCCCUCGGCACCUGCGUCAGAUGCUAGCCGCGGAGAGUGAGGGACCUUGAGCGGUACUGCACGCGUCCUCAGCUCUGUGAGCCCCUCUGGCACCGCGGGGAGUCUCUGUUCCUGCUGCUGUGAUAAAAUAUCCUGACAAAAGCAACUUAAGGGAGGAUGAUUGAUUUUGGCUCUCGGUCUGAGGGUACAGUCCAUUGUGUCGUCGGUGAAGUCCUGGCAGCAGGAGCAGGAGACACCUUGAGUCUGCAGUCUCAAAGCAGAGAACGACAGAUGUCCAUAGCUCACCCCUGGACUCUUUGGCACCAUUGCUCAGCUUUCACUUUUCAAAUUUACCUUUUUGGGAAAAGGAAGGCUUCAAGGAUGGAGGGUGGAAGAACUGGAAGAAGAGUGGGAUUGGGGUGCAUGAUGUAAAACUCCCAAAGAUUCAAUAAAGAAUCAUAUUAAAUGCAAA